rnacentral:rRNA from 1 species
UAUGUUUGUGUGCCAGCCGCCGCGGUAAUACAGAGGUCUCAAGCGUUGUUCGGAAUCACUGGGCGUAAAGCGUGCGUAGGCUGUUUCGUAAGUCGUGUGUGAAAGGCGCGGGCUCAACCCGCGGACGGCACAUGAUACUGCGAGACUAGAGUAAUGGAGGGGGAACCGGAAUUCUCGGUGUAGCAGUGAAAUGCGUAGAUAUCGAGAGGAACACUCGUGGCGAAGGCGGGUUCCUGGACAUUAACUGACGCUGAGGCACGAAGGCCAGGGGAGCGAAAGGG